AAUUAAAGAGAAAUUAUUGGAUUUCAAGAAAUCAAGCAAGUAAAGGUGGUGAGCCCUCUGAUAAGGGUAAGGAUAUUGUGCCCGAGGACCAAGAAUAGGGGUACUCCAAACUCCUGCUAUUGCUCAGGACAGUCUGUAGACAGCCAAUUUUGUCGAGGGUUGCUUUUGGAUUUGCAUCCUUAGAAAUCGAAGGUCUACAGUCUUGUAUAUUUUCGGUUAUUUUGGGAUCCACAUGUCAUUGUAGAAUAUUUUCUUAUACCUGGUUUAGUGUGCUAUUAUAUAUAUGAAUUUAUUU